AUCCUCUCGUAAUUCAUAGGUGUGAUGAUUGGGUGUUCACACUCUUGUGUGACAUGUGCCUCCCACAAACCUUGUAUGACAUCAGCACAUCAUUACCUGUCUGACA